rnacentral:rRNA from 1 species
UGCAUAACACAUGCAAGUCAAACGGGUGUAGCAAUACAUCAGUGGCAAACGGGUGCGUAACACGUUGGAACCUCCCCAGAAGUUUCGGAUAAUCCCGCGAAAGCGGGACUAAUACGGAAUGGUCUCGCAAGAGUAAAGUCUUACGACGCUUCUGGAAGGGCCUGCGGCCUAUCAGCUAGUUGGUAAGGUAACGGCUUACCAAGGCUAUGACGGGUAGCUGGAUUGAGAGAUCGACCAGCCACAGGGGAACCGAGACACGGUCCCCACUCCUACGGGAGGCAGCAGUGAGGAAUCUUCCGCAAUGGGCGAAAGCCUGACGGAGCAACACCGCGUGGAGGAUGAAGUCUUUCGGGAUGUAAACUCC